rnacentral:lncRNA from 1 species
CGGGACCAGAAGCCAUGAGCUCAUCCCGCUCCAUUGCCGCACAUUCCCACAUUUCAUCUCCCGGUCUGCUUCCCUCUGUUAUUGCGUUUCCCUCCUCUCUACCUGCCUAUUUCUCCCUCUUGGUUUCCCACUUGUCUCAUUCUCUGUUUUUUGGUGCUUUGUUGUGGCCGCCGCUCUGUCAUCAGCGACAGGAAGGUGUGUGUUGGAGGGGGGGUUGUUCACCUGGUGGCCAGGUAAGGAGGCGGGGCGGCUCGCUGGUUGGGAUUACAGUCAAAGCAGCCAGCGUGAGAAACAGGAGAUGCACAAGGAGCGUGAGAACACUACCUGGAAAACAGCUGGGAAUGUCUGGCGAACAGGCUAACCAAACACACAUGUAUAUACUUAGAAACACACAGAACACACUCCAGUGGGAGGCACUCCCACACACGCAUUCCUGUAAAAUACAUGCUGGGUCAGACCCAAACGGGACUUCCAUGGUGAUUUAUUUCUCAGGAAUCAUCGUUUCAGAGUCUGGGAAGAAAAUAGAGCGAGCGCCUCAAAAAGCCUGGAAAACCUUCACUUGCAGCAACUUGAACACAAACACCGAGCACCACGCGUCCCUCUGCCCUGAGUCACUCCUUCUACGUCCUAAUAUUGAGCCUGGUCUCAAUUCGUGGCUCUGCCCACAUGUUUGGAUUUCUAUGAGCGGCGCGUUAUUGGGCCACAGUUCAGUGCGCCUGUGUUUUUGUUCCUGUGAUUGUGCAUGCAUGUGUGAAGCUCUAUGGGAAGAAUGUGUUUCUGCAUUCUGAGACCGAAGCCCAAAGAGGAAGUUAACCCUUGUUUACUUCUCUCUCUUACUGGCAGAUUGCACAACACUGUUUAUAAAGUGGGAUGAUGAGACAGCGAGAGUUCAGAGUGAGCGGCUACAAGCAGGAAGCGGGACUGGAGAAGCAUCAUUAAACGUGCCUUUGACUGUGCACACACUGUCUCUCUCUGUCAUCAGAGCUUUCCUUUGCAGUGUAUAUACAAAUAUGGUGAAAGGAUUCCUGUAGACAGUGUUUGCAUUC